rnacentral:rRNA from 1 species
GUCUACGGCCAUGCCACCCUGAACAAGCCUGAUGUCUGAUCUCGGAAGCUAAGCAGGGUGAGAUGGGAGACAACCUAGGAAGACCAUAUGCUGUAGGCA